GACGAACGCUGGCGGCGUGCCUAAUACAUGCAAGUCGAACGAAGCUGUUUUAACUGGUGCUUGCACCGACUUAAACAACUGAGUGGCGAACGGGUGAGUAACACGUGGGUAACCUGCCCCAAAGCGGGGGAUAACAUUUGGAAACAGAUGCUAAUACCGCAUAACCACAGAAACCACAUGGUUUCUGGUUCAAAGAUGGUUUCGGCUAUCACUUUGGGAUGGACCCGCGGCGUAUUAGCUAGUUGGUAAGGUAAUGGCUUACCAAGGCAAUGAUACGUAGCCGAACUGAGAGGUUGAUCGGCCACAUUGGGACUGAGACACGGCCCAAACUCCUACGGGAGGCAGCAGUAGGGAAUCUUCCACAAUGGACGAAAGUCUGAUGGAGCAACGCCGCAUGAGUGAAGAAGGUUUUCGGAUCGUAAAACUCUGUUGUCAGGGAAGAACGUGUGCGAGAGUAACUGCUCGUGCAGUGACGGUAUCUGGCCAGAAAGCCACGGCUAACUACGUGCCAGCCGCCGCCGUAA
rnacentral:rRNA from 1 species